rnacentral:rRNA from 1 species
GGAAUAUUGCACAAUGGGCGCAAGCCUGAUGCAGCAACGCCGCGUGAGGGAUGAAGGCCUUCGGGUUGUAAACCUCUUUUAGUAGGGAAGAAGCGAAAGUGACGGUACCUGCAGAAAAAGCACCGGCUAACUACGUGCCAGCAGCCGCGGUAAUACGUAGGGUGCAAGCGUUGUCCGGAAUUAUUGGGCGUAAAGAGCUCGUAGGCGGCUUGUCGCGUCUGCUGUGAAAACCCGAGGCUCAACUUCGGGCUUGCAGUGGGUACGGGCAGGCUAGGGUGUGGUAGGGGAGAUUGGAAUUCCUGGUGUAGCGGUGGAAUGCGCAGAUAUCAGGAGGAACACUGAUGGCGAAGGCAGAUCUCUGGACCACUACUGACGCUGAGGAGCGAAAGCAUGGGGAGCGAACAGGAUUAGAUACCCUGG